AUUAUCCUUACUAGUAUAAAAAUUGGCAAGGCUAGAAGGAAAAUAUAUUCUUUUGGAUGGAUUGAGUAUAAAAUUUAGACCCUGUUAAUAGAUGUGCAGAUUAUUGGAAAAUAUGAAUGGAGAUCAAGUAAAUUAUGGUCUUGAGGCGUGUAAGUUCACUUUCUUUAAGGUGUUAUUUGUCUCCACUCGAAUGUAUGCUGUCGGGUUACCAGCAAAUUACCUCCAGGAUACCAUAAGACCGGAGAAAGACUGCAAACAACACUUUUAAAGACUUUCCCGUAAGAACUUCUCUCUUAAGCAUAAAUAUGAAAAUUAGGAAGGAGAAAGUAUUAAUUAUAUUACACUUAAAGACUACAAACAUCUUCUAUUUAUAGGAGGUGAAUGGUUACGAUGAAAGGACACAACUUUUAAAAUUAUAUCCUUUCACAAAAUGACACGUCCUUUCACGAAUAGUGAAAAGAUAUACUCUUUCACAAAAGGUUCAUAUCCCUUCGUGAAGAAAUAGGUCUCUUCGUAAAGAGAUACAUCUCUUUGCAUCAAAUGAAAAGACAUAUCUUUUCAUAAGAACAACUAAUUCAACAAAGAGACACAACCAUUCAUUUGAUUUUAACUUUAAUUCUUCAACUUAUUCUCUCACAUCCAUUAUUACAAUCUACACUAACACAGAUAAUAUUACUCUAUUUUAUAUCUAUAUAUUUAUUUAUAGGGACAAUUGCUUAUGUAUUUCUGAAAAGUUUUCAACUUUCUAAUUUAUCCCCUUUAGAAGACUAAUAUUGAAAAUACCUUUUUUACGUUCCAACAUAUUUCAACCUUAGAGUUAAAUUCUGUUAAUAAACGAACGAUUAGCAAUAACCGUUAUUUAUGUGAAAUUACUAUUUUACCCUUUCAAAUAUACUCUUCUACCAUCACUGAUUUUUCUUAUUUACCAUUAAGUUAGGAGCACAAAAAUUAUUUUGAUUUUUGAUUUUUUCAAAUAUACACUUCUACCAUCACCGAUAUUUUUAUUUGCUUUUAAGUUAUGGACAAAAUGAGUACUUUGAUUUUUUUUAAAUCUAGUAGAUAUUUAACUCAUGUUUAACCCAAAUUAAUUUAACGGGUGGUAACUGCAUGAAUAUUUUGAAAUAACAGAGGAACAUAUAAGUAGUAUAUUGAAAAGAAAAAAAAAAGAUAAAUUAGAUAUUUUCAAAGUUUUGAGUAUAUAGAUAAUUUUCUCUUAUUUAUAACUUGUAUGGCUACAUUAAUAAACGAAACGAGUAGCAUGUCUAUCUCUCAAAAAAAAAAAAAAAAACUUAUAAUUC
rnacentral:lncRNA from 1 species